GGCACACCUGUAGCCAGCCCCUAAGGAGGCGUGGCUACAGCUUCCCCUACAGAUACAGGGGGUUAUUUCAAUUCUUUUGCAUCUGUGGAGGUUCGCUUUGUUGCCAACUAUGUGGUCAAUUUUAGAGAAGGUGCAUGUGGUGCUGAGAAGAAGGUCAUAUUUUAGUGUAAAACCUGUUCUGAGUUGAUAAAACUGGACAGUGAAUGGGAAGAGUGACAGACAAGGAAAUGCUGCAAAUUGUACUUGUGAAUGUGUUGAGCUCAGGAGAAGGAAGCAGCAUCUGUUCCAGAAAUAUCCACCAGUUGAGACUCAAGAAGUCAAAUAUACCUAAUCCUGCAGAUCACAUUCUUCCAACAGGAGGUGUUGAAAAGAAAAGGACAGUCUACCAUCUGCUUAGCCAUCUGUUUCAGAAGACCUAUUCCUUAUUUUGUGCCAUUGGGGCUUUUUACAAAAUGAUCAGCAUCAUCAAAGACCCCAAAUAAAAGCAUAUGAUAACAUCAUCUAAUAGCUGUCUCAGAUGGUGUCAGCUUCUGGGUUUUCACAAGAUAUUUUCCUAUUGAAUUAUGUCCUUUAAAAUAUGUGCAAUGUGGAAAAAACAUGAUCUGUGAAUCAGUGGCUUUCAUGCUGAACUCUACUUUUAAAUUAUGUGAGACAAUUGCCUAGAUCUCUUACCUUAAAAUUCCUCCCAUGUAAAAUGUAAAUAUAUUUAUUUCCCAGAAUAAAAGCUCUGUGUACACAGGAUCCUCCAUCUCUUUUUGUUCCCUGAUGCAGUUAUCAGAA
rnacentral:lncRNA from 1 species